rnacentral:rRNA from 1 species
GACGAACGCUGGCGGCGUGCCUAAUACAUGCAAGUUGAGCGCUGAAGGUUGGUACUUGUACCAACUGGAUGAGCAGCGAACGGGUGAGUAACGCGUGGGUAAUCUGCCUUUGAGCGGGGGACAACAUUUGGAAACGAAUGCUAAUACCGCAUAAAAACUUUAAACACAAGUUUUAAGUUUGAAAGAUGCAAUUGCAUCACUCAAAGAUGAUCUCGCGUUGUAUUAGCUAGUUGGUGAGGUAAAGGCUCACCAAGGCGAUGAUACAUAGCCGACCUGAGAGGGGGAUCGGCCACAUUGGGACUGAGACACGGCCCAAACUCCUACGGGAGGCAGCAGUAGGGAAUCUUCGGCAAUGGACGAAAGUCUGACCGAGCAACGCCGCGUGAGUGAAGAAGGUUUUCGGAUCGUAAAACUCUGUUGGUAGAGAAGAACGUUGGUGAGAGUGGAAAGCUCAUCAAGUGACGGUAACUACCCAGAAAGGGACGGCUAACUACGUG